rnacentral:rRNA from 1 species
CGAGCGAACGGACGAGAAGCUUGCUUCUCUGAUGUUAGCGGCGGACGGGUGAGUAACACGUGGAUAACCUACCUAUAAGACUGGGAUAACUUCGGGAAACCGGAGCUAAUACCGGAUAAUAUUUUGAACCGCAUGGUUCAAAAGUGAAAGACGGUCUUGCUGUCACUUAUAGAUGGAUCCGCGCUGCAUUAGCUAGUUGGUAAGGUAACGGCUUACCAAGGCAACGAUGCAUAGCCGACCUGAGAGGGUGAUCGGCCACACUGGAACUGAGACACGGCCCAGACUCCUACGGGAGGCAGCAGUAGGGAAUCUUCCGCAAUGGGCGAAAGCCUGACGGAGCAACGCCGCGUGAGUGAUGAAGGUCUUCGGAUCGUAAAACUCUGUUAUUAGGGAAGAACAUAUGUGUAAGUAACUGUGCACAUCUUGACGGUACCUAAUCAGAAAGCCACGGCUAACUACGUGCCAGCAGCCGCGGUAAUACGUAGGUGGCAAGCGUUAUCCGGAAUUAUUGGGCGUAAAGCGCGCGUAGGCGGUUUUUUAAGUCUGAUGUGAAAGCCCACGGCUCAACCGUGGAGGGUCAUUGGAAACUGGAGAACUUGAGUGCAGAAGAGGAAAGUGGAAUUCCAUGUGUAGCGGUGAAAUGCGCAGAGAUAUGGAGGAACACCAGUGGCGAAGGCGACUUUCUGGUCUGUAACUGACGCUGAUGUGCGAAAGCGUGGGGAUCAAACAGGAUUA